rnacentral:lncRNA from 1 species
GUGCGAUACAGAAUAAAAUAUCGUAUCGGCGAUAUUCCGAUACGGAUUUUCAUACGAUACUUGAUAUCGCGAUAUUUUGGGAUAAUAUCGAAAAUAUCGUGAUACGAUAUUUAGGGGGAAAAACAAACAACAGUUUCUUUUAAACUCAUUUAUUUGCCAGAAGUAAUUAAAUUUAAAUAAGAAAAAAAAUAAAAACUGUUUGAAAUAGAAAUUAAAUUCUGAUAAAAAAAAUUAAAUUUCUUAGCAAAAAGUUUUACAAAUGAAAUAUAAAAAAUUGGUUUUCAAAUUGAAUAUCACAAAUGCUUAUGUAAAAGCCAAGGAAUUUUUUCCAAAAAAUUUUUUGAACAGGAUUCAGCUUAUACAUGAGGUUAAAAAUUUUUGCAACCUUAUAAGAUUCACCUCAGUUAUGCCUUUGUGCCAACCAUGUAAUCUGCCAUAUUUAUCCCUAACAAAGGAUGGAUAAAUUUGUAGUGUUUCCGCUUGUUUUCACCUGUUUUCUGCAAUAUCUGCACUAAACAAUAUUUUUUUUAUUU